GACGAACGCUGGCGGCGUGCUUAACACAUGCAAGUCGAGCGAUGAAACUUCUUCGGAAGUGGAUUAGCGGCGGACGGGUGAGUAACACGUGGGUAACCUGCCUCAUAGAGGGGAAUAGCCUUUCGAAAGGAAGAUUAAUACCGCAUAAGAUUGUAAUAUCGCAUGAUAUAGCAAUUAAAGGAGUAAUCCGCUAUGAGAUGGACCCGCGUCGCAUUAGCUAGUUGGUGAGGUAACGGCUCACCAAGGCGACGAUGCGUAGCCGACCUGAGAGGGUGAUCGGCCACAUUGGGACUGAGACACGGCCCAGACUCCUACGGGAGGCAGCAGUGGGGAAUAUUGCACAAUGGGGGAAACCCUGAUGCAGCAACGCCGCGUGAGUGAUGACGGUCUUCGGAUUGUAAACCUCUGUUUUCGGUGACGAACAAAUGACGGUAACCGAGUAGGAAGCCACGGCUAACUACGUG
rnacentral:rRNA from 1 species